UACGGAAGGGGCAAGCGUUGUUCGGAAUCAUUGGGCGUAAAGGGCGCGUAGGUGGUUCUGUAUGUCUACCGUGAAAGCGUACGGCUCAACCGUAUUUUGUCGGUGGAAACUGCAGGACUUGAGGCUGGGAGGGGCUGGUGGAAUUCCCUGUGUAGCGGUGAAAUGCGUAGAGAUGGGGGAGAACACUCGUGGCGAAGGCAGCUCGCUGGGACGGUACUGACGCUGAGGCGCGAAAGCGUGGGGAGCGAACAGG
rnacentral:rRNA from 1 species